rnacentral:lncRNA from 1 species
GCAUAUUAUUAACACAUUCGGAUAGAAAACACUGAAUUUUCUAAAACAGUUUGAAUGGUGUCUGUAAGUAUAACAAAACUCAUAUUGCAGGCAAAAACCUGUGAAAAAUAGAUCCAAAAAAAUGUGAAUUUUGUGACUGUACUAUUUAGUGUCAUUGUUUUAUAGAUACCAUAGUGAGAAAGGAUUCAUUUCGCAACACCUACGGCUUCCACUAGAUGUCAACGAUCUUUAUAAAGUUGUUUGAAGCGUCUAUGAUAAACAGAGAGCAAAUUAGAAUCCAAGGAAGUUGACAUGUCAUCACUUCAUUUUUUUGCGCCUGCGCAUAAAUCUUGAGAAACAAACCACAUUUGUUCCGGACCUGGAAUGCCUUCCGGACCUGGGAUCCUGCCUUCUGAUGGAGAUAAUCAAAGAAUUGAAAGACAUCAACCACAUGGCGGUAGAACGCGUCUGUUUAAAGACGAACAGGAGGCUGCCAUUGUACAAAUGGUAAUUGAAAAUAAUUCCCUAAGACUGCAGGAAAUCCAUCAAGAUUAUUGAAAACCCUGCCAUCUUCCAUAACAUCGGAGUGAGUUGUUCAACCAUAGUCUGUAUCCUUAAGAAAAACAAUCUCCUGACGAAGCAAAUCUACAGUCCCAUUUGAAAGGAAUUCCCAAGAGUGAAGGAUAAACGGCAAAAAUGUGUAAAACCAUGGAGUUUGAUGCAAGUCCCAUCUCCCAGGAACGCAUUCAUAGAUGAGGCUGAAUUAAAUUUUGCGAAGACGAGGAGAGGAAGGAACAUCAUUGGUUAUCAUUGAGGUACCUGGCCAGCUCAGGGGAAAUGUCACCAUAUGCGCAGCAAUGAGCCACAAUCGCCAUGCCACCCUUUGACCAUACAACACUGCCCAUCUCCUUAAUAUCCUGAACACCUUACAUGGCAAUCUUUUUAAGCCAGAGCAGAGAGGGCCAGGUGACCCUGAGCAGCAAAUGUAUGUUCUAAUUUUGGACAUGAGCUUGCAUCAGGCUGCUCAGGUCUGCAAUUGGUUCCAUGACCAUCCCAGGUUUACAAUUCUCUCUCCCACAAUAUUCCCCAUUUGUCAACUCCGUUGCGGAGUUGUUUUCAGCAUGGCGGUGGAAGGUGUAUGAUCGCAAACCCUAUGAAAGUAUGGCCCUUCUCCAGCCAAUGGAGGAGGCCUGUGGUGACAUUCCAGUCAUGGGUGGAUGCAUCAUGCCAGAAGAUAUUUCCACCGCUGUUUGACCAAGAAGAAUAUCGCCUGUGAUGUUGAUGAAAAUCUGUGGUCAGACCAAAACAACAGACAUGACUGAUUAUUUGUUUCUUGGACUUGUGAUUUAGAUUUUACGGUAUUUUGACAGUUUCUUUAUCUAUUCCAUACAGUUGAUCUAACAUACAGUACCGUAUUUUUCUUCCUUUGCAUAAGGAAAAUAUAUUUACUGUGUGUUACAGUAUGUUGUUUUACAUGUAUUGAGUCAUGUUGAAAUGUAACUUAUAUUUCUGCAUGUGUUCCUUUCUUGUUUUUCCAACAGUUUGCUAAGAGCUGGCACCAAGCUGAUAGGUCUAAUGUUAGAAUCAGUAAAGACCGCUUUACCACUCUUAGGUAGUGGAUGACUGGCUUCUCUCCAGGCCAGAGGACAAAGACUUUCCUCUAGGCUCAGAUUAAAGAUAUGACAGAUAAGAGUGACUAUAUAGUCAGCUACCAUCCUCAGUAGCCUUCCAUCUAAGUUGUCAAUGCCAGGAGGUUUGUCAUUAUUGAUCAAUAAGAAUAAUCUUUCCACCUCUCCCACACUAACUUGACAAAAGCCUUACUUAGAAUGCUUUUCUUUCAUAUUUUAAUACAUGAGUACAGUGGCUCACUGUUCGUUGUUGGCAUUUCCUGCAUAAGUUUGCCAAUGAAGUAAUCAUUAAAAUAAUUGGCAACUUCAAAAGGUUUUGUGAUGAGCCAUCUGAUUUGAUGAAAGUUGAAUGGCUUUCUGGCCAUAAUUUCAUUUAAAGUACCCUCAUUUUUAUCAUUGAUCUUGGCUUCAUAAUAGUUUCUUCUUUUUGAGUUUAGCCACAUUUCUCAAUUUGCAGUAAGUCAGAUGUGCAGACUUAUUAGGCAAUCCUUUUGCCCCAUCUCUUUCAAUCAUAGUUUUUCAAUUCCUCAUCAAUCAGUGGAGCCCUAACAGUUCCAACAGUCAGGUUCUUAAGUGCAAUUUUAUAAAGUCAUCUUGCAGCAUUUGGAUGCUCCUUAAUAAUCACAUCAGACCAACAAAUAUUUUAACAUUAGAGUGAGUCACAGCAAAAUCUCUUAUACACUAUUUUAGGCCCAGCUUUUGGAACUUUGGCUUUCCUGGAUAUAGCCACGAUAUUGUGAGCACUGCAUCCAAUGGGUACGGAUACAGCUUCAGAAUAAAGUUCUACAAUAUUAGUACAAAUGUGAUCAAUACAUGUGGAUGAUAUUGUUCCUGUAGUGUUUGUAAACACCCUGGUAGGUUGAUUAAUAGCCUGAACCAAAUUACAGGCGCUGGUUACAGUGAAGCUUCCUCUUGA